CAAUAAAAUUUUAUAUUUCCCGAAAUGUUUUGAGGUAAAAGUUUAAUUUAAUUAAUGUUUCAAUAUUAAAAAAAAAAUUAACUUUUAGAAGUGAAAUUCCUAUCAAAAAGCAAGAUAUCUGGUUAUAUAAAGUAAUUAUAUGUAUUUCUAUAAGCUAAAUUUAUUUGUAAAAAUUAUAGAAAAAUAAUUUCGGGAUAAUUUGAGAUUAUUAUAAUUUAAUUUUUUUUUUGUUUAUAAUUUAAAGAAUAAAAUCUUCUUUGUUAUUUUCAUAAAUAAGUUAAGAUAUAAAUAAAAGUAAUUUAAAUUAUUUAUUAAAUUUAAUUUAAAAAUUUAAGUAAAAAUGACGUUAUUAGUAAAAGUAAAAAAAUUUUUUUUUUAAUUAAAUUAGAAACUUAAUUAUAGAUCUUUAAUUUAAAAGAAUUAGGCAAAUUAAUUUUCUGACUGUUUAAUAAAAACAACGCAUUUAGAUUAUUAAUAAAUGCAAAUCCUGCUCAAUGAAACUUAAAUUGCUGUAGUAUUUUGACUAUACAAAGGUAUUGAAAUAAGAUUUUAAUUGAAUGCUAAGAGAAUGGACUCUCAGAGAAAAACUUUUUUUAAAUUAAAAAUUGAAAUUUUUUUAAUUUGUGCAGAAACAAUUAUUAAUAUUAAGGACAAGAAGACCCUAUGAAUUUAUUAAAUUUCAUUCAAUAUGUAAUUACUAUUGAAGAAAUUUUGGCUGGGGCGGCUAAAAAAUAUUUUAAACUUUUUAAAAAUAAAAUGAUCCAUUAUUAAUGAUUAUAUGUUAAAUACUCUAGGGAUAACAGCGUUAUAUUUUUUGAUAGACCAUAUUGACAAAAAAGUUUGCGACCUCGAUGUUGGAUUAGGAUACUUUUUUAAUGCAGAUAUUAAAAAAAGAAGUUUGUUCAACUUUCAAUUUCCUACAUGAUCUGAGUUUAGACCGAUGAGAAUCAGGUUGGAUUCUAUCUUAAUAAUAAAAUAAUUUUAAUUAGUACGAAAGGAAUUUUAAAAUAUAAUUAUUAGGAUAAACAACUUUAUUUGCAUCAAUUUUUGUAAUUAUUAAAGUGGCAGAACUUAAUGCGAGGAAUUUAAGCUUCCUCUAUGAAAAUUUCCUUUAAUAAUUUUAAAUUUUAUUUAUUUUUUUAUUUUAAUUUUAAUAGUGCUAUUAAGAAUUGCUUUUUUCACGUUAAUAGAACGAAAAUUUUUAG
rnacentral:rRNA from 1 species